rnacentral:sRNA from 1 species
UAACAUGCUCAGUGUGUUCUUCUCAGCUUCCAUUGGUAUAUACCAAGAUAUCAUCAAGGUAGACAACCACAAAUUUGUCGAGGUAUUCAUAUAACACACUGUUAAUCAUUGCUUGGAAUGUUGCUGGUGCGUUGGUUUGAUCUGUAUGUGGGUGUAAGCUCCCCAUAGGUCUAGAGCUGUAAACCAUUUCACUUCUGCAAACCUAUCCUGAAUUUCUUCAAUAAGCAGUAGUGGGUAUCGGUUUUUCACAGUUAUCUUGUUUAGCUGUCAGUAAUCCACACAUAAUUGCAAACUUCCAUCUUUCUUUGGUACAAAGAUGACAGAAUAUCCUGUCGGUGAUGUUGACAGUUGUAUGAAUCCUUUUUCCUGAUUCUCAUCAAUGUACUUCUGAAGUUCUUCAAGUUCUUUUUCCAUCAUCCAGUAUAUUGGUGCG